rnacentral:sRNA from 1 species
AUUGGUCGCAGGUUCGAAUCCUGCACGACCCACCAAUAUACAAGGUGGUAACUGGUAGAGAACGUGAAGGAUAAUGUUGCUUUAGCAACGGCCCGAAGGGCGAGGCGAAGCCGAGUCAUCCUGCACGACCCACCA